rnacentral:lncRNA from 1 species
CCUUUUACCCCUUGUUUUCAUGGUCACCAUACUUUAACACUGGAUGGGGAAGGUACUCUCCUGGCCAGGAGCAGAGGGCUCAUGACCAGGAGCAGAGGGCCCAUGACCAGGAGCAGAGGGCCCAUGACCAGGAGCAGAGGGCCCAUGACCAUGACCAGGAGCAGAGGGCCCAUGACCAGGAGCAGAGGGCCCAUGACCAGGAGCAGAGGGCCCAUGACCAGGAGCAGAGGGCCCAUGACCAGGAGCAGAGGGCCCAUGACCAGGAGCAGAGCAGAGGGCCCAUGACCAGGAGCAGAGGGCUCAUGACCAUGACCAGGAGCAGAGCAGAGGGCUCAUGACCAGGAGCAGAGGGCCCAUGACCAGGAGCAGGAGCAGAGCAGA